AACGAACGCUGGCGGCAUGCCUAACACAUGCAAGUCGAACGAGACCUUCGGGUCUAGUGGCGCACGGGUGCGUAACGCGUGGGAACCUGCCCUUAGGUUCGGAAUAACUCCCCGAAAGGGGUGCUAAUACCGGAUAAUGUCUUCGGACCAAAGAUUUAUCGCCUUUGGAUGGGCCCGCGUUGGAUUAGCUAGUUGGUAGGGUAAAAGCCUACCAAGGCGACGAUCCAUAGCUGGUCUGAGAGGAUGAUCAGCCACACUGGGACUGAGACACGGCCCAGACUCCUCCGGGAGGCAGCAGUGGGGAAUAUUGGACAAGGGGCGAAAGCCUGAUCCAGCAAUGCCGCGUGAGUGAUGAAGGCCUUAGGUUUGUAAAGCUCUUUUCCCCGGAUGAUAAUGACAGUACCGGGAGAAUAAGCUCCGGCUAACUCCGUG
rnacentral:rRNA from 1 species